rnacentral:lncRNA from 1 species
AGGUCUUCACAAUUGCAUUAUAUAUUCCUGAUGCAAGUAAUGAAAACAAAAAAAAAAGUUGCCAUUCAGUAUUAAACUCUUAGGAAGUCAAGACAAAAAUGAAAACUUGGAUUGCUUCACUCUGUAUUUUAUCUCUCUCCAGGGCUGUCUUUUCUCAAACCUGUGUGACGCCAGAUGGGCCCUGCGUCUUUCCCUUCGUAUUUUUAGGAACAACCUACACUGAAUGUACCAUGGACGGGUCGACCCAACUUUGGUGUGCCACCUCAGUAGAUAGUACAACCCUAAAUUAUGAGACCUACAGUUAUUGCCCUUCAAGUUGUUCGAAUUCAACUGUCUUAGCAUGUCAAACUGUUGAUGGAAUCAACUGCGUAUUUCCAUUUGUUUUCAAGGCAUGACCUACAAUAAUUGUACAAAUACAGCUUAUGGAUCCACAUUCUGGUGUGCGACAUCAGUUGGGGCUGGAAAUGUAACCAAUUCUUUUGGAACCUGUUCCUCAAAUUGUCCAAGUACUUCAGGCAAUAGCACAAACGUUUGUAACACCAGUUCUGGCACACAAUGUGUUUUCCCCUUUAUUUAUAAAGGUCUUACCUUUACAUCUUGUACCACGAUGGA